rnacentral:rRNA from 1 species
UACGAUGGAGGCAAGCGUUGUUCGGAUUUACUGGGCGUAAAGCGCGUGUAGGCGGGUCGUUAAGUUGGGGGUGAAAUCCCGAGGCUCAACCUCGGAACUGCCUUCAAAACUGGCGACCUGGACUCAAGCAGAGGCAAGUGGAAUUGCGAGUGUAGAGGUGAAAUUCGUAGAUAUUCGCAGGAACACCAGUGGCGAAGGCGACUUGCUGGGCUGGUAGUGACGCUGAGACGCGAAAGCGUGGGGAGCAAACAGG